CGGGUGAGUAUCGCGUAGGGAUUUAUCGUUGGGUGGGGGAUAACCGCGGGAAACUGCGGCUAAUACCGCAUGACGCCUGUGGGCCAAAGGUCUUCGGACUGCCUGAUGAGGAGCCUGCGUCCGAUUAGCUAGUAGGUUGGGUAAUGGCUGACCUAGGCUGUGAUCGGUAGCUGGUCUGAGAGGAUGAUCAGCCACACUGGGACUGAGACACGGCCCAG
rnacentral:rRNA from 1 species